UACGUAAGUCCCAAGCGUUACCCGGAAUUAUUGGGUGUAAAGGGUCCGUAGGCGGACUUGUAAGUUGAAUAUGAAAGACCGAGGCUCAACCUCGUGUUUGUAUUCAAAACUGCAAGUCUAGAAUUAGGGAGAGGUUAGCGGAAUUCUUAGUGUAGGGGUGCAAUCCGUAGAUACUAAGAGGAACACCAAAAGCGAAGGCAGCUAACUGGAACUAUAUUGACGCUCAGGGACGAAAGCGUGGGGAGCAAAGAGG
rnacentral:rRNA from 1 species